GGAGGGAGCUAGCGUUAUUCGGAAUUACUGGGCGUAAAACGUACGUAGGCGGUUAUUCAAGUCAGAGGUGAAAGCCCGGGGCUCAACCCCGGAACUGCCUUUGAAACUAGAUAGCUAGAAUCUUGGAGAGGUCAGUGGAAUUCCGAGUGUAGAGGUGAAAUUCGUAGAUAUUCGGAAGAACACCAGUGGCGAAGGCGACUGACUGGACAAGUAUUGACGCUGAGGUACGAAAGCGUGGGGAGCAAACAGGAUUAGAUACCCUGGUAGUCCACGCCGUAAACGAUGAUAACUAGCUGUCCGGGCACUUGGUGCCUGGGUGGCGCAGCUAACGCAUUAAGUUAUCCGCCUGGGGAGUACGGUCGCAAGAUUA
rnacentral:rRNA from 1 species